rnacentral:piRNA from 1 species
UGUGCCAUUGGGCUUCGUCUCAUGCUGACU